rnacentral:rRNA from 1 species
UAAUACGUAGGUGCGAGCGUUAAUCGGAAUUACUGGGCGUAAAGCGUGCGCAGGCGGUUAUACAAGACAGGCGUGAAAUCCCCGGGCUUAACCUGGGAAUGGCGCCUGUGACUGUAUAGCUAGAGUGUGUCAGAGGGGGGUAGAAUUCCACGUGUAGCAGUGAAGUGCGUAGAUAUGUGGAGGAAUACCAAUGGCGAAGGCAGCCCCCUGGGAUAACACUGACGCUCAUGCACGAAAGCGUGGGAGCAAACAGGAUUAGAUACCCUGGUAGUCCACGCCCUAAACGAUGCUGACUAGUUGUUCGGGAUUUACAUCCUGAGUAACGCAGCUAACGCGUGAAGUCAGUCGCCUGGGGAGUACGGUCGCAAGAUUAAAACUCAAAGGAAUUGACGGGGACCCGCACAAGCGGUGGAUGAUGUGGAUUAAUUCGAUGCAACGCGAAAAACCUUACCUACCCUUGACAUGUCACUAACGAAGUAGAGAUACAUUAGGUGCUC